rnacentral:lncRNA from 1 species
CUCUUCCAAACAAAAGUUGAUUUAUUUGUCAGAAUAUGUGCUGCACCUACUAAAAAUAUUUAGAAUUAUAAAUAAACUCUUCCAUCCCCCAAAAAAUCAUACCUGAAAUUGGCAUUUUGUGCUUGCUUGUAGAGGAAAAAUACUCUGAUUUGCUGCUUCUCCUGUGGCCUCAGAAAGCCAUUUGCUGCUGAAAGCAGAAAGCUGAUCUCCAUUUUUCUUAAGUCAAGGUGCAAUACCACGAUAACAUUAGCCAAACUAACCUGAGGCUUCUUCUGUCACUCUUCAUUCCCAGGCUUUCCCGGUCCUUUGCACCAGCACUGGUGCCUGUUUGAUCCUGUACAUAUCUGGUGCAGGGAGCUGAACUAGCAGAAACUAGCCAGAUCCUGUUUGCUCUCACUGUCUGGCAAGGACCAAUACACCACAACAUGGAUAAGGCAGUGACUACUGCUUUGCAGUAUGGAAGCACAGUACGCAUCACUGCUGGUUGCCCAUAAAAUAUAAGAUUAUGAAAAACAUUGUUAAAC